GACGAACGCUGGCGGCGUGCCUAAUACAUGCAAGUCGAACGCAGUGGGGACGGGUGAGGAACACGUGGGUAACCUCCCAUCAGAGGGGAUAACACUUGGAAACAGGUGCUAAACCGCUACUGAUGGAUGGACCCGCGGUGCAUUAGCUACUUGGUGGGGUAACUGCCCACCAAGGCCACGAUGCAUAUCCGACCUGAGAGGGUGAUCAGCCCCACUGGGACUGGGACACGGCCCAGACUCCUACGGGAGGCAGCAGUGGGGAAUAUUCGACAAUGGGCGCAAGUCUGACCGAGCAACGCCGCGUGAGUGAAGAAGGUUUUCGGGUCGUAAAGCUCUGUUGUUGGAGAGGCGGUAUGUAACCAGAAAGCAACGGCUAACUACGUGCCAGCAGCCGCGGUAAUAC
rnacentral:rRNA from 1 species